UACGGGGGGAGCAAGCGCUGUUCGGAUUUACUGGGCGUAAAGGGCGCGUAGGCGGCCAGCACAGGUCAGUUGUGAAAUCUCCGAGCUUAACUCGGAAAGGUCAACUGAUACUGUGCGGCUAGAGUGCAGAAGGGGCAACUGGAAUUCUUGGUGUAGCGGUGAAAUGCGUAGAUAUCGUAAGGAAGACCAGUGGCGAAGGCGAAUCUCUGGACAGUUACUGACACUGAGGCACGAAGGCCAGGGCAGCAAACGGG
rnacentral:rRNA from 1 species